UUCGCUUUGGUGGAAGUCGACUUUGACGAUCCGACUACGAACGUGCGAGGACGUCGCGCCUUAGCAAUCGCUAAACCAACUCCGAGAGGUUAUUGACCACGCCGGAGCACGAUCAACCUGACCACGAGGGUCUGUUUCCUGCGAGCAAACGAAGAACAAGCAAGAAACUGAGAUUGCAAUCUGGAUAUUGCGAAUAUAAGAUGAAAGCUUUAUUGAUCAAGGUGGGGUUCUGUGACGCCUUUGUCUGGUCGUUGAACACAAACGAAGUACGCGAAGUUGCAGCUAUGGCGAACUUUUAAUCUAAACAAAACCCAAAGUCUAAACGAUGCCCUAAGGGCUGUAUAUAUGGAGGAAGAGGGGGGAAAUUUCGUGGCCCUUGGUGGAGGGGUCCGAAAUCAACCCUAUCUCUUGUUUCCCCACACAUACGGACUCUAAAAAUAGCCUAUACUUAUGUAUUUCGAAAUUACAUGGGCCUGGCCCAAUAAUAAGGUGACGCAGCACCUAAAAUAGCCUCGGAACGAAAUUUAUGAAGUGGCAUCUUGUAUAUUUCGUCCAAGGCUUCAUGCACCCAUUAUGGUGGCUUCAAAGUCCUGAAAUCAUCACUUGUAACUCCGUUCUUGUUCUUGCUCCAAUGUUCAUCCUUCUCCAAGCUAGGCCCUUCAUUUGUAAGCAAAACAAAUGUAUCCAAUUUAGGCAGCAUCAUAUUCUCAUGAACAUUAGAAUCAUUACCAAGAAACGAAAGUACCUGGUAGUUUAGUUGGCGUGCACGAGCUCUAGUAAUUGGUCCAGUAUGUAUAGCAGCAGGGGCUGUGGGUGUAACAAUUGUAUUGAUGUCCUCAUCAUGGUGCAUUCAAAUUGACAAGGCAUUCAUCAUUCUCAUGUAGAGAUGGAAGAUCAGUACCUUUGUCAUUACCUCUUAUGAUCAACUUAGAUGAUGUAGCCACUCUCGGGGGCGAUGUGUCACAUGGUGGAGGUGAUGUAGUCCUGACAACAACGGAUGUGGUUGUCAUAGUAUGCCUAGUAGUUGAAGGAACAAUCAUAUCAACUCUUGGAAUGUGCACUGUGCGCUUGUUCUCCUCGUGGCCAACACGUCGUUUUAUUUCCUGUUCAGCUUUGCAAGCAAGAUGAAACAAAUGGUCCAUAGGAUAACACUCUUCAUGAAUUAGUAUCUCUUGAAUAUCACGGUUUAAUCCUCCCCAAAAUCUAUCCAUAAAAUCAUCUUCACUUUCUUCUAAAGAGGAAUGCAACAAGGUAGUUUGUAGAUCAUCAUAAUAUUUUGUUACAGUUUCACUACCUUGUUUUAAGUGUUGCAACUUCUUAAUCAUGUCACGAGUAUAAUAAGCAGGGACGAAAGUAUGUCGCAUGGCAAGUUUCAAAUCAUCCCAAGUAGUAGGUAUAUAAUCAGGGUGUAACCGACAAUAUUCACUCCACCAAACCAAAGCAUAACCAGUGAAAGAACCAACCGCAACCUUAACCUUUUUAUGUUCAUCGAAAUUAUGGGAAGCAAAUAUAUUUUUUAUGUCGAACUCCCAUUCUAUAUAUAAAGCAGGUUUAAAACGACCAUUAAAUGGUGGUGUAGAUACAUUAACCUGAUCAUGUGCAUUUGGAUGUUUGUGCACCUCUCGUGACGGUUGUGGUAUUUGCAAAGGUGGUGGCACGUCUCCCGCGAUCGACAAAGCCCAUGAAUUGACUCUGGAUCCUGUCAUGAUUAGUAGAACAAGAAACAAAACCCAAAAAUAUGUUCCUAUAACUACUAGGAUGUGGUGGUAAAACGCUCACAGUAAAGCAAAUAUCAAUGUCUUACAAGUUCUUACCAUGCAGCAGGCGGUGAUCGGCAACCAGCGGUGUCAAGUAACUCCGAAUAUUGAGUAAAGCGAUUGCCAGGGGAGCGUACGUAUACACGGUGUAGAAAUAUGUGGAGCUGGGUUGGCUAUAUAUGGUAGCAAAAGAUUAGCAAUAAUCAAUUCAAAGAUGCAAUGUUGAAUAAACGUUCAACGACGGUACUCUGCUGGUCCUAGGCUAGACCGUACUAGAGACGCGAGCCUAGAACACUAAUGAGGUCACGACGUAGCACAACUAGCAUCAAUGAAGGAUACUAAGUAGCUCUUGACAGUAAGAUAUAAGUGAAGAUCACAACGGCAGUGAAGAUAAUUAUGAAAAACAACUGCCAAGGAGGAUAUACAACAACUCUCUCUCCAACUUUCCUCUUGAAAAGUUUGAGACAAUUUUUUGAUAAAUUCUUUCAAGGAAUGCUACUAACUCAAGCUUUCCAAUGCAAAAAGAAUCACUCAAUUCCGAGUUGAUAUGAGGAGUCAAAGAAUUCUAAAACUAGCCUGAAAAAUUGGAACAAGUUGUGUUCACAAACUUCGGAGGGCAAAAAGACCUAAUUAGAAGCCGAUUUUGAGGUGUCAAAUAUUGAACUAGCUUCUGCAACUAUCUAGAUGCGGCUCGUCGCUAUCUUCAAUUUGAGUACUCAAGGAGCCAAAACUGACUUCGUAUGAGGAAGAUACACCUGUUUUACUGAACAGUGCGCAAAACAGAUUCCAAUCCGAAUUCAGGUACGAGAUUGAUUCUAGAUAGAUCCAAUUUUUUUUCUCUCCUUUUUUUUCUCACGCUUUUAUUUCUUUUUCUUCUCUCUCUUUUUCUUUUUUUUCUUUCCUUUUUUCUCUUUUUUUUCUCUCUCUUUUUUUUUCUCCCUCUUUCCAAGACAAACUAGAUAAGAUGCGGAUUGGAUCAGGCGAAGAUGUGAAUGACCUCAACUAUGAUUAUGACAAUGAACAGUGCGUAGCACAUGGUGGAAAUUAAUAGAUGGGAUGGUGGACGGCGGAAGGGAUAAUGAUGCAGCGGCGGCGUGACUAAUGUGAACAGAACUCGAAACUCUAAAAGAACUAGACACUAAGACCAGCAACUGACACGACGAUGCAACCGAUAAUUCAACUAUGCAAGCAACGAAUAGAAAAUUGCAAAGGCUCAGACUGGCUUGGAUAAAGGAUGAACAGAUCUAACUUUUUUUUUGUGGCUUUUUCUUGGACAAUAGGUAAGAAAAAAAUUUAAUCUAGGAAAAACUGGAAAUUCUCACCGAGCAACCUGAAAACUGAUACCACUUGAUAAAGGCGAGGGUGUCCCGAUCUUUCGAUGAGAUGAUAACUAUUGAUUUGGUGGAGACGACUUUGACGAUCCGACUACAAACGUGCACGACGUUGCGCCUUAGCAAUCGCUAAACCAACUCCGAGAGGUUAUUGACCACGCUGGAGCACGAUCAACCUGACCACGAAGGUCUAUUCCUGCAAGCAAUCGAAGAACAAGCAAGAAUAUGAUAAAGCAAUCUGAAUAUUGCGAAUAUAUAUGAAUUAUUGAUAAUGGUGGGGAUCCGUAAGCGGUCUUGGUCUGGUCGUUGGACACAAACGAAGUACACGAAGUUGCAAUGGCUAACUUUUAACUAAACAAAUCCCAAGGAAAAGCUACUAGAUGGAUCUACUUAUAUAGGAGCAAGGGGUGGCGGCCAAGGAGGUGGGAGGACGUCCCAAGGCAGCCUAAAACUAAAUCUAGGUCAUACAAGGCCAAUGGGCCCAAGUGGAGGUGAUGUAACACCUUUGGACUUGUAGUUUAACUCGGAUUCUGCUGCAGCAUCAGAUUGUUUCGUCCACAACUCAACGCUCCGGACGAAUUUGAAGGUGAUUCCAAUUGGGUUGGAAAGUGCACGAAAUCUAGUUUCCAACAAAAAAAGCAUCACCCAAUUUGGAGUCCGUAUGAAAAACUUGUGUGCAUUUUGAGUCAGGUGUGUCUGUGCAGUCCGAAUCUGAAUCCAAAACGUGAGAGACUUGGACUCUAUCUUCUCUUGGGCCAAAAGUGACGUGAGAGAACUUUUUGGACAGCAGAUAAACAUCUCUUUCUUCCUUAUCUUCAUAUGUGGAUUGUGCAAAUGUCCCAUACACCUGCAAUUAGACAAAACACAAAAGUGUGUGAAGUAUUUUUGUUCUGGAUAACAUAAAUAGAUUAUUGAAUAGUUUGCACUAGAAAUCACCUGACAAAUAUGCAUAUAUGCAAUAUUUUUGGUCAUAUCCAAGGUAGUCAUGUCCUCAUCAGAAGGUCUGUUUCGCGAUGUGGAGGUAGUCGUUGUUGUUGUUGUUGGAGAGGUGCGUUAGAUGCAGCGGGUGGUGGUGGUGGAAGACGCGUGAGCAAGUCAUUAAACUUGUUAUCGAGCUUUGUUUCGAACGUCUUCUCAAGGCCAGUGAUCUUCUCCAUGGCCUCUUCAAAAUUGUUCAGCACAUCUUGCACCUGUUCAGUCAUCAUUUGCUGAAACUUAUCAUGAAGCUCCUUGUUUGAUAAAUUCUCCCAGUCAAUCUCGUCGGCUUGUGAUCCUGGCAUGGUUAGCAGCAAUAGAAACACACAAGAAUAUGAUCCUACAGACUACGAACAAGUGGUGGUGGUGGGUGUCACAAACCCGUCAAGCAAAACUCAAAUUCUUACCAGUUCUUACCCAGCAACAGGCGAUGAUCGGCAACCGUUGUAGUCAAAACUCUCAAAGCUUGGAUAGAGUGAUUACCAGGGAGAGUCAAAGGCACGACGUAGAUGUAUGUGGAGCUGGGAAGGCUUAUAAUUUGGUAGCAAAAAGGGUCAGCAAUAAUCAAUUCAGAGAUGCAAAGUUGAAUAAACGCUCAACGACGGUACUGUGCUGGUCCUAGGCUAGACUGUGCUAGAGACGCGAGCCUAGAGCACCAACAAAAUCACGGCGCGGCACGUAAACAAGGGAGGAGCACACUCUGAAUUUUUUUCUCUUUUUUUUUGCACUUUUUUUCCUCUUUUUUUUUUGCUCCGCAACAAAUUUUUUUCGAAAAAGUCUACAAAUGGUCUAAAAACUGCCUAGCCAGAAUUUUCCAGACUUAGUUUUUUUUUUGAAAUUGGAACUAUUUUUCUUCUGCGGAUGGCUCGGAAGUUGGCGAGUCCUUCUCUGUCACGACUCGGAGUAUCGCGUGAUCUGGAAAUCGAGAACAAUGCAACAAUUACUGGACUCGGACUAGGACUGGUGGCGGAGAUGAAUCUGGUGGAACUCGGACUGGUGGCGAAGAUGAAUCUGGUGGAACACGGACAGGUGGCGGAUAUAUGUUGCAGGUGAACUCGGAUUGGCGUGAUGGCGGCGGAUAUGUGGUGGCGUAUAUGGAUUCGGAUUGACGGUGAAUAUGUGGUGGUGGUAUAUGGCAACAGCGACGAUGAUGAUGCGGUGGUGAUAUAUGGCAGCGGCGACGUGACAACCUGUGAACAGAACUCGAAACUCUAAAAGACUAGACGCUAAGACCAGCAACUGGACAUGACGAUGCAACCGCAAAUUCAACAAAGCAAAUACAGAAAAGAUUAUGCAAGGCUCAGAUUGGUUCGGAUGGGAUGAACUAACCCUAAUUUUUUUUGGCUUUUUCGUGGACUAUAGGUAUGAAGAACAGACUCGAUCUAAACUACGAAAAACUGUAAAAUCUCACCGAGCAACCUGGAAAUCUGAUACCACUUGAUAGAGGCAAAGGUGUCCCGUCUUUCGAUGAGAUGAUGGAUAUCGCUUUGGUGGAAGUCGACUUUGAUGAUCCGACUACGAGCGUGCGAGGACGUCGCGCCUUAGCAAUCGCUAAACCAACUCCGAGAGGUUAUUGACCACGCCGGAGCACGAUCAACCUGACCACGAGGGUCUAUUUCCUGCGAGCAAACGAAGAACAAGCAAGAAACUAAGAUUGCAAUCUGGAUAUUGCGAAUAUAAGAUGAAAGCUUUAUUGAUCAAGGUGGGGUUCUGUGACGCCUUUGUCUGGUCGUUGAACACAAACGAAGUACGCGAAGUUGCAGCUAUGGCGAACUUUUAAUCUAAAC
rnacentral:lncRNA from 1 species